GUGUGGCAGGGACAUACUUUGUAUGUCUGAGUGUUAGGAUUAGUUUGCGCCAGUUAGCUUUAAAGUAUUGUAAAUAAUCAUUAAUUCUCUGUCUUUAUUUCAGCAUCCAGUAGGCGCUGAUAUAUGCAAUGUAAAUAUGUAUUUUAAUAUAUUGCUUUGUUUCAACUCACUACAGUGACUGAAAUGAAAUAGUUAACAAUUCAUGUAUUUUUAAUAAGUUUCUUGAUUUCAGCUCAUAUCAGCGCUGAAACAAUUCAUAUAAUUAAUCGCUUAGUUUUAGUAACACAACCAAUAGUGUCUACCCAACCGUGACAACACGUUACGAUUGGUCCAUUCAAACCUGCAUGCUUUUUCUAUGCCUGAACACCUCGCACCCUGACACAACUGACAAAACUUGUGUGAGAGACAGACAAGCAUAGGCGUCAACUUAAUUUUCAUCAGCACACAUUAUUCCAUCGUCUGCUAUGGCGGCCAGGCAUAAACACGGGCCCCUGUGCCAUACAUAGGGGUUUAUCGGUAUGUUGAAAUCUACAUCCACUUGGAAUAAACAGAACUUACAACCCUGCAUUCACUUUGCGUGUCGUCAUUGUGACCCUGCUACAAAAUGGAGCCCCCAGUGAUUUG
rnacentral:lncRNA from 1 species